rnacentral:rRNA from 1 species
UACGGGGGGGGCAAGCGUUGUUCGGAAUUACUGGGCGUAAAGGGCUCGUAGGUGGCCAACUAAGUCAGACGUGAAAUCCCUCAGCUUAACUGGGGAACUGCGUCUGAUACUGGAUGGCUUGGAUCCGGGAGAGGGAUGCGGAAUUCCAGGUGUAGCGGUGAAAUGCGUAGAUAUCUGGAGGAACACCGGUGGCGAAGGCGGCAUCCUGGACCGGUAUUGACGCUGAGGAGCGAAAGCCAGGGGAGCAAACGGG